AUUGCCACAUGUCAUGUUAUAUAUCAAUACAGUUUCAUUUACUUUGGUGCACUACUCUCUGAGAAAAUGCUGAUUUUAUGCAUUUUUCCAUAGGGUCAAUGCAAAACUUGGCCCCAGUUUCCAUGACAACGGCGGCCAUUUUGAACUAUCCAUAUAUUGUCUUGACAUCUUGGCAUACUGGAGAACAUUUUCAUAAAGUUUCAUCCAGUUGGAUGUUAUAACGAAAGAGUUAGAAUUUUUGAUAUUUUAGCUGUUUCCAUGGUAACGGCAGCCAUUUUGAAAAUUCCAAAGUCAAACUGGAAAUCAGCACAUGCCAGUUAACAUUCCUGUGGAGUUUCUUCCAGUUUGGACCACUUUGAUUUUUUUCGCAUUUGUGCUGUUUCCAUGGAAACGGCGGCCAUCUUUUACCAUUCCAUAGCAAGGUGCACAACUUCAAAUGGGGGUCCUCAUUAUGUUAUAGUUCCAACAAUAUUGGAUCACUCAAUUCUUAGAAACACGAUGGACAAAAUGUGUGGAAGAAUAAUAAAAAUAACUAGAAUUGCCAUUGCAAGCAAUAGCGGAUGUCACCCUUCCCCAUUGCCACUAAG
rnacentral:lncRNA from 1 species